rnacentral:misc_RNA from 1 species
UACAGAGACUGCAAGCGUUGUUCGGAUUUACUGGGCGUAAAGGGUGCGCAGGCGGCCGGAUGUGUCGGGUGUGAAAUUUCGGGGCUCAACCCCGAAACUGCGCCCGAAACUAUUCGGCUAGAGUACUGGAGAGGGAAGCGGAAUUCACGGUGUAGCAGUGAAAUGCGUAGAUAUCGUGAGGAACACCAGUGGCGAAGGCGGCUUCCUGGACAGUUACUGACGCUCAGGCACGAAAGCGUGGGGAGCGAAAGGG